rnacentral:rRNA from 1 species
UACGAAGGGGACUAGCGUUGUUCGGAAUUACUGGGCGUAAAGGGCGCGUAGGCGGCGUGUCAAGUCAGGCGUGAAAGCCCCGGGCUCAACCUGGGAACCGCGCUUGAGACUGGCAUGCUCGAGUUCGGGAGAGGAUGGUGGAAUUCCCAGUGUAGAGGUGAAAUUCGUAGAUAUUGGGAAGAACACCGAUGGCGAAGGCAGCCAUCUGGACCGACACUGACGCUGAGGCGCGAAAGCGUGGGGAGCAAACAGG